CAAAUUAGAACUUGGUAAGAUAAGUAUUUCAUUUACAUUGAAAGUGAGUUGUGCAAAUCAAUAUAGUUUGA
rnacentral:tRNA from 1 species